rnacentral:rRNA from 1 species
GAUGAACGCUCGCUACAGGCUUAACACAUGCAAGUCGAGGGGAAACGACAUCGAAAGCUUGCUUUUGAUGGGCGUCGACCGGCGCACGGGUGAGUAACGCGUAUCCAACCUGCCCAUCACUUGGGAAUAACCUUGCGAAAGUAAGACUAGUACCCAAUGACAUCCCACGAAGACAUCUGAAUGGGAUUAAAGAUUUAUCGGUGAUGGAUGGGGAUGCGUCUGAUUAGCUUGUUGGCGGGGUAACGGCCCACCAAGGCAACGAUCAGUAGGGGUUCUGAGAGGAAGGUACCCCACAAUGGAACUGAGACACGGACCAAACUCCUACGGGAGGCAGCAGUAAGGAAUAUUGGUCAAUGGGCGAGGGCCUGAACCAGCCAAGUAGCGUGCAGGAUGACGGCCCUAUGGGUUGUAAACUGCUUUUAUAAGGGAAUAAAGUGGGUCUCGUGAGACUUUUUGCAUGUACCUUAUGAAUAAGGACCGGCUAAUUCCGCG